CAAGGGGUAGUUUAUGAAAAAUAUUAGUUUUGGGGACUAAGGAAGAGACGUAAGUUUUUCCCUUGA
rnacentral:tRNA from 1 species